CCUACGGGGGGCAGCAGUAAGGAAUAUUGCUCAAUGGGAGAAAUCCUGAAGCAGCAACGCCGCGUGGAGGAUGAAGGUCCUCUGGAUUGUAAACUUCUUUUAUUUGGGAAGAAACUCCCGAUUUCCAUCGGGAUUGACGGUACCAGAUGAAUAAGCACCGGCUAACUCCGUGCCAGCAGCCGCGGUAAUACGGAGGGUGCAAGCGUUAUCCGGUUUCACUGGGUUUAACGGGUGCGUAGAUGGGCAGGUAGAAAUCUCCGGGCUUAACCCGGAAACUGCCAUUGAUACUAUUUGUCUUGAAUACUCUGGAGGUGAGCGGAAUAUGUCAUGUAGCGGUGAAAUGCUUAGAUAUGACAUAGAACACCCAUUGCGAAGGCAGCUCACUACGGAAAUAUUGACGCUGAGGCACGAAAGCGUGGGGAUCAAACAGGAUUAGAUACCCGAGUAGUC
rnacentral:rRNA from 1 species